GAGUUUGAUCUUGGCUCAGGAUGAACGCUAGCGGCAGGCCUAAUACAUGCAAGUCGAGGGGCAGCGCGGGUAGCAAUACCUGGCGGCGACCGGCGCACGGGUGCGUAACACGUAUACAAUCUGCCUUUAACAGGGGGAUAGCCCGGAGAAAUCCGGAUUAAUACCCCAUAAUAUAUUGAGUGGCAUCACUUGAUAUUGAAAGCUCCGGCGGUUAGAGAUGAGUAUGCGCCUGAUUAGUUAGUUGGUGAGGUAACGGCUCACCAAGACUUCGAUCAGUAGGGGAUCUGAGAGGACUACCCCCACAC
rnacentral:rRNA from 1 species